GUCACACCUCAAAAAGCCAACCGAGAUCGGCUACAUAGGCUUUUUAACUUUUCUAGUUGGUUAGACUGUGGGUCCCAUUUAUGUGCGAUAUGGCAGGAUCUGAGCUAUCAAUGGACACACUGUACUAAAACCUCACUGCAGUAAAACUGAAAACACGCUCCGUUCUCAGUGAUAAACCAUUUAAGAUUUAACCUCCGUCCAAAGCCCUAACGGACAGCAUCGCUCUAACGCCAACGACACCGUUCAGGCAAUUCUGGCUCGGUGCGCGAAUCUCUGUUCACAUUACGGGUAAUGUUGCUGCCUGAUUCUUGUGUUAUGCCAGCAUAGUGUGC
rnacentral:misc_RNA from 1 species